rnacentral:rRNA from 1 species
GACGAACGCUGGCGGCGUGCUUAACACAUGCAAGUCGAACGGAAAGGCCCUUCGGGGUACUCGAGUGGCGAACGGGUGAGUAACACGCGGGUGAUCUGCCCUGCACUUUGGGAUAAGCCUGGGAAACUGGGUCUAAUACCGAAUAUGAUCAUCGGCUUCAUGGUCGGUGGUGGAAAGCUUUUGCGGUGUGGGAUGGGCCCGCGGCCUAUCAGCUUGUUGGUGGGGUAAUGGCCUACCAAGGCGACGACGGGUAGCCGGCCUGAGAGGGUGACCGGCCACACUGGGACUGAGAUACGGCCCAGACUCCUACGGGAGGCAGCAGUGGGGAAUAUUGCACAAUGGGCGCAAGCCUGAUGCAGCGACGCCGCGUGAGGGAUGACGGCCUUCGGGUUGUAAACCUCUUUCAGCACAGACGAAGCGCAAGUGACGGUAUGUGCAGAAGAAGGACCGGCCAACUACGUG